UGUGCUGUGUGUGUGCUGUGUGCUGUGUGACUGAUUAUGUGACUGAUUAUGUGACUGAAGUGAGAAAGAAGGAGAAGGAAGAGGAGAGUGGGUUUGUUUUUAUAAACACGUGGGCGAGGGGAUACCCGCUCGGUUUUAUCGGUCUUAACACUGAGGAAUGUACCACGAGCUCCGGGUCUGUCGGUCUGUCAGUCUGUCUGUCUGUCCAGCGCUGCUCUCCUGGACACCUCUCUCACUUUGACUGAACACACAUUUGCACUUCAAGAGACACAAUUUUUUACUUUUUUUUUUUUUUUUUUUUUUUCUCCCCCCCCUUUCAGACUGUAAUACACCCUCCACGCGGUCAGGAGAAACUCCACAAAGCUAAUUUACUCACCUAUAAUGGUGUAUGCAACCACAACAGAUCCCACAGCGUCUAAAUGUUCAAACCUGGUUCUGCAUCAUCACACUCGGGUCUUAGCGCUCAGCUCCACCUCGGUUUCACAGCUUGUUUUAUGGCUUUACCAACUACAACCAAGUCCUAAAGGAGCCGUGUGCGAUUUGGAGCGCGGAAAACUCACGUACAUGCUCCCAAACUCAAAACGCAGCCUGCCGAAGACAAACCGAGAGAUGAACGGUCACUUUGAUGAAAACAUUAAAAGAGAGCAGAUUUUUAAAAAAAAAAAAAAACAGCUUGUUUCUUAUUUUCAUAUCAUUCAUAUCUUUUAUUAUUCAUCCCACAGAUUAGCCAAGAGGUGAAAUGUUAAUCCCCUGACAGGUUCUUAGUGUUCAGAAGGAAAUAAAAUAAUAAUCAAUCAUUCAAACAUCUCAAAAACAAGCAAAUGGGAGAAAAAAAAUUCAUAAAAUUAAUUAAAAAAUAAAUCUUUAAAUGUCAUUUGAUCAUCGGGAAAGUUUCGUAGUUUUGCUUUGAUUAUCAUAUUUUUUGUCUGAUUUAUUGGUUAUCGGUUGUUGUUUUGUCUCAUGUUUAUCUCUGUCUGGCUCCAAGGACAUGAAUAUUAAUUAAGCAGUGCACACAGCAGUCAUGUGAUUGGCUGAGAGAGAGAGCAUCUCAUUUACACACAGAUCUCCACGCAGAUUCCACGUACAGAACUGUCUGUGUGGGCGGGACAUACGCUCGCUCGCUCUCCUGUCAAUCACAGGGACGCUCCCUGGAGAGAGCCAGAUAAGGGCGGGAAAAAAAAUGGAGGUACGUUUAUCGACACGUGCAUUUUUAGCAGCUCGUGACACUUUAGUGCUCAGAAGUGUUUUUCUCCUAACCGCAAUAACUCGUUUUAGAGAAGACGGAGCGGAAAUGUCCGAUUUUGUACAGCCGCGAUUAACGACUUUCUCUUUGCUACUUUUUAAUAAGAAGUUUCCUUUUUUUCUGUAGAAUAUUUUUUGUGUCGCUGACGACAUCGUUUCGUCGCAGCGAGACGACGACGAUCACAUGAAAUCCUUUGUUCUUAUGAAGAUGGACACGUUUCAGCUUUGAUCUGCAAUAACGGUAAACUAUUAAAAACAAAAAAAACGAACAGACUAAUUUAUUUUAUUUUAAGUGAGAACGAAAAUCUGCUGUUUUUGGAUUUUUAUCAUUCUUAAUAAAGCAGCAAAUAGACAAGAGGGAGAAAAUGUUCAGUUCUCGGAUCGAUUUCUUUUUUAUUGUUAUUAUUUUUCUCAAAGGUGACCUUUAAAGCAAUACAGUAAAUGUGUGCAGUAUUUUCACUGUGUAUAUAAAUGUCAUGUCCAUCGUGAAGAAAAACGAAACAAACACACAAAAAAAAAAUAACAGUAUCAAAUGAUUUUGACGGUUUUUACCUUCGAGUUGCAGUCAGCUUUUUAAUCUCUUACGAUUGCUUUACUGGAGGAUAAAAAUAACGACGUGCAAUAAAUCAUUCUGUAUAUAAACGGCC